rnacentral:rRNA from 1 species
AAUGAACGCUGGCGGCGUGCCUAAUACAUGCAAGUCGAACGAAACUUCUUUAUCACCGAGUGCUUGCCCUCACCGAUACAGGGUUGAGUGGCGACCGGGUGAGUACCACGUGGGCAACCUGCCCAACAGAGGGGGAUCACACUUGGAAACAGGUGCUAAUACCGCAUAACCAUCGUUACCGCACUGUACCUAUGUAAAAGGUGGCUGUACUACCGCUUUUGUAUGGGCGCGUGGCGCAUUAGCUAGUUGGUAGGGUAAAGGCUUACCAAGGCAAUGAUGCGUAGCCGAAUUGAGAGGUUGAUCGGCCACACUGGGACUGAGACACGGCCCAGACUCCUACGGGAGGCAGCAGUAGGGAAUUUUCGACAAUGGGCGAAAGCCUGAUGGAGCAACGCCGCGUGUGUGAAGAAGGUCUUCGGAUCGUAAAACCCUGUUGUCAGAGAAGAAAGUGCGUGAGAGUAACUGGUCACGUGUCGACGGUACCGAACCAGAAAGCCCCGGCUAACUACGUG